rnacentral:rRNA from 1 species
UGGGGAAUUUUGGACAAUGGGCGCAAGCCUGAUCCAGCAAUGCCGCGUGAGUGAAGAAGGCCUUCGGGUUGUAAAGCUCUUUUGUCAGGGAAGAAACGGUCUUGGUUAAUACCCGGGGCUAAUGACGGUACCUGAAGAAUAAGCACCGGCUAACUACGUGCCAGCAGCCGCGGUAAUACGUAGGGUGCGAGCGUUAAUCGGAAUUACUGGGCGUAAAGCGUGCGCAGGCGGUUUUGUAAGACUGUCGUGAAAUCCCCGGGCUCAACCUGGGAAUGGCGAUGGUGACUGCAAGGCUAGAGUUUGGCAGAGGGGGGUAGAAUUCCACGUGUAGCAGUGAAAUGCGUAGAUAUGUGGAGGAACACCGAUGGCGAAGGCAGCCCCCUGGGUCAAAACUGACGCUCAUGCACGAAAGCGUGGGGAGCAAACA